rnacentral:rRNA from 1 species
AUUGAACGCUGGCGGAAUGCUUUACACAUGCAGGUCGAACGGUAGAGGGGGCAACCCCUCGAGAGUGGCGAACGGGUGAGUAAUAUAUCGGAACGUGCCCAGUCGUGGGUGAUAACGUAGCGAAAGUUACGCUAAUACCGCAUACGAUCUAAGGAUGAAAGCGGGGGAUCGCAAGACCUCGCGCGAUUGGAGCGGCCGAUAUCAGAUUAGGUAGUUGGUGGGGUAAAGGCUCACCAAGCCAACGAUCUGUAGCUGGUCUGAGAGGACGACCAGCUACACUGGAACUGAGACACGGUCCAGACUCCUACGGGAGGCAGCAGUGGGGAAUUUUGGACAAUGGACGCAAGUCUGAUCCAGCCAUUCCGCGUGCAGGAUGAAGGCCCUCGGGUUGUAAACUGCUUUUGUACGGAACGAAAAGGUCUCUCCUAAUACGGGGGGCUCAUGACGGUACCGUAAGAAUAAGCACCGGCUAACUACGUGCCAGCCGCCGCGGUAA